GGUAUUGUGGUUCUUUUCUGGCAAAAGAGAGAUGUCUGCCAACAAGAUUUUGUCUCAAGAUUUUCUGGCAAAAGAGAGUGCAUUUAAGAUCGAUACAAGGACCUCAUGUAGUCAACUUGAGUUGAAUGAAGUAUAUGAAUGGAGCUUGCAACAACUGUACUGUAUCUACCUCGAAUCCUUUACUACUCAAAGGACACUUUGGAAAGGGGAAGGCUUUUAAUAACACUAGAGUGAAGCAUAGAGUGAAGCAGUCGAUUAAGGUGCCCACAAUUAGUAACAAGCUAGCAGAUAUGAUGAUUAUUCAUGGAAGAAAUAUGGUC